rnacentral:rRNA from 1 species
GGGGAAUUUUCCGCAAUGGGCGAAAGCCUGACGGAGCAAUACCGCGUGAGGGAGGAAGGUUUUUGGAUUGUAAACCUCUUUUCUCAAGGAAGAAGAAAGUGACGGUACUUGAGGAAUAAGCAUCGGCUAACUCCGUGCCAGCAGCCGCGGUAAUACGGAGGAUGCAAGCGUUAUCCGGAAUCAUUGGGCGUAAAGCGUCCGCAGGUGGUUAAUCAAGUCUGCUGUUAAAGACAGAAGCUCAACUUCUGAUAGGCAGUGGAAACUGGGUAACUAGAGUAUGGUAGGGGUUGAGGGAAUUCCCAGUGUAGCGGUGAAAUGCGUAGAUAUUGGGAAGAACACCAGUGGCGAAGGCGCUCAACUGGGCCAUAACUGACACUCAGGGACGAAAGCUAGGGUAGCGAAAGGGAUUAGAUACCCCUGUAGUCUUAGCUGUAAACGAUGAACACUAGGCGUUGCUUGUAUCGACCCGAGCAGUGCCGUAGCCAACGCGUUAAGUGUUCCGCCUGGGGAGUACGCACGCAAGUGUGAAACUCAAAGGAAUUGACGGGGGCCCGCACAAGCAGUGGAGUAUGUGGUUUAAUUCGAUGCAACGCGAAGAACCUUACCAGGACUUGACAUCUCGAGAAGUUCGCCUCAUAGCGAAUGUGCCUUAGGGAACUCGAAGACAGGUGGUGCAUGGCUGUCGUCAGCUCGUGUCGUGAGAUGUUGGGUUAAGUCCCGCAACGAGCGCAACCCUCGUUCUUAGUUGCCAGCAUUAAGUUGGGCACUUUAGGAAGACUGCCGGUGACAAACCGGAGGAAGGUGGGGAUGACGUCAAGUCAGCAUGCCCCUUACGUUCUGGGCUACACACGUACUACAAUGGUUGGGACAAAGGGCAGCAAACGAGCAAUCGCGAGCGAAUCUCAUCAAACCCAGCCUCAGUUCAGAUUGCAGGCUGCAACUCGCCUGCAUGAAGGAGGAAUCGCUAGUAAUCGCAGGUCAGCAUACUGCGGUGAAUUCGUUCCCGGGCCUUGUACACACCGCCCGUCACACCAUGGAAGUUGGCCACGCCCGAAGUCGUUACCCUAACCCUUUUGGGAGGGGGAUGCCGAAGGCAGGGCUGGUGACUAGGGUGAAGUCGUAACAAGGUAGCCGUACCGGAAGGUGUGGCUGGAUCACCU